rnacentral:rRNA from 1 species
UACGGAGGGUGCAAGCGUUAUCCGGAUUCACUGGGUUUAAAGGGUGCGUAGGCGGGCAGGUAAGUCAGUGGUGAAAUCUCCGAGCUUAACUCGGAAACUGCCGUUGAUACUAUUUGUCUUGAAUAUUGUGGAGGUAAGCGGAAUAUGUCAUGUAGCGGUGAAAUGCUUAGAUAUGACAUAGAACACCAAUUGCGAAGGCAGCUUACUACACAACGAUUGACGCUGAGGCACGAAAACGUGGGGAUCAAACAGG